UACGGAGGGUGCGAGCGUUGUCCGGAAUCACUGGGCGUAAAGGGCGCGUAGGUGGCGCGAGGAGUCUGUGGUGAAAGCCCGAGGCUCAACUUCGGGUCAGCCGCGGAUACUCUCGUGCUGGAGGGUGGUAGAGGCCAAUGGAAUUCCGGGUGUAGCGGUGGAAUGCGUAGAGAUCCGGAAGAACACCGGUGGCGAAGGCGGUUGGCUGGGCCACACCUGACACUGAGGCGCGACAGCGUGGGGAGCAAACAGG
rnacentral:rRNA from 1 species